rnacentral:rRNA from 1 species
UGAGACACGGCCCAGACUCCUACGGGAGGCAGCAGUGGGGAAUAUUGCACAAUGGGCGAAAGCCUGAUGCAGCGACGCCGCGUGAGGGAUGACGGCCUUCGGGUUGUAAACCUCUUUCAGCAGGGAAGAAGCGAAAGUGACGGUACCUGCAGAAGAAGCGCCGGCUAACUACGUGCCAGCAGCCGCGGUAAUACGUAGGGCGCAAGCGUUAUCCGGAAUUAUUGGGCGUAAAGAGCU